CUUCCGUAGGUGGAACCUGCGGAGGGAUCAUUAAAGAGUUGCAAAACUCCCACAAACCAUCGCGAACGUUACCCGACGUCGUUGCCUCGGCGGGCUCGCCCGCCGUGGGGACGCCACCAAACUAUUGCAGUCAUUGGCCUCUCUGAGUAAGAUUUUUAAAUAAGUCAAAACUUUCAACAACGGAUCUCUUGGUUCUGGCAUCGAUGAAGAACGCAGCGAAAUGCGAUAAGUAAUGUGAAUUGCAGAAUUCAGUGAAUCAUCGAAUCUUUGAACGCACAUUGCGCCCGCCAGUAUUCUGGCGGGCAUGCCUGUUCGAGCGUCAUUUCAACCAUCAAGCCCUGCUUGUGUUGGGGUCCUGCGGCUGCCCGCAGGCCCUGAAAACCAGUGGCGGGCUCGCUAGUCACACCGAGCGCAGUAGCACAUCUCGCUCAGGGCGUGCGGCGGGUUCUAGCCGUUAAACACCCCCCUUCCAAAGGUGACCUCGGAUCA
rnacentral:rRNA from 1 species